rnacentral:rRNA from 1 species
UGCGCAGGCGGCUUCUUAGGCAUGACGUGAAAGCCCCGGGCUCAACCCGGGAGGGUCGUCGUGAACCGGGAGGCUUGAGGCCGGUAGAGGUGGGUGGAACUCCUGGUGGAGUGGUGAAAUGCGUAGAGAUCAGGAAGAACACCCGUGGCGAAGGCGGCCCACUGGGCCGGUACUGACGCUGAGGCACGAAGGCGUGGGGAGCGAACG